UCGUAGGCGGUUUGUCACGUCUGUCGUGAAAGUCCGGGGCUUAACCCCGGAUCUGCGGUGGGUACGGGCAGACUAGAGUGCAGUAGGGGAGACUGGAAUUCCUGGUGUAGCGGUGGAAUGCGCAGAUAUCAGGAGGAACACCGAUGGCGAAGGCAGGUCUCUGGGCUGUAACUGACGCUGAGGAGCGAAAGCAUGGGGAGCGAACAGGAUUAGAUACCCUGGUAGUCCAUGCCGUAAACGUUGGACACUAGGUGUGGGGACCAUUCCACGGUUUCCGCGCCGCAGCUAACGCAUUAAGUGCCCCGCCUGGGGAGUACGGCCGCAAGGCUAAAACUCAAAGGAAUUGACGGGGGCCCGCACAAGCGGCGGAGCAUGCGGAUUAAUUCGAUGCAACACGAAGAACCUUACCAAGGCUUGACAUGUUUUCGACCGCCGUGGAGACACGGUUUCCCCUUUGGGGCGGAUUCACAGGUGGUGCAUGGUUGUCGUCAGCUCGUGUCGUGAGAUGUUGGGUUAAGUCCCGCAACGAGCGCAACCCUCGUUCCAUGUUGCCAGCACGUAGUGGUGGGGACUCAUGGGAGACUGCCGGGGUCAACUCGGAGGAAGGUGAGGACGACGUCAAAUCAUCAUGCCCCUUAUGUCUUGGGCUUCACGCAUGCUACAAUGGCCGGUACAAUGGGUUGCGAUACUGUGAGGUGGAGCUAAUCCCAAAAAGCCGGUCUCAGUUCGGAUUGGGGUCUGCAAC
rnacentral:rRNA from 1 species